UCAUGCUGCUAGCUAACCAUAGGCUAACGUUACCUGCUGUUGAGUGUAGUGUAAAGUCAGGCAACAACAUUUUUGUUCUUAUUCGGUCUCGUUACUACCGUUUACGUCAACACCGGUGCCCUAUUGGCACUGCGUUUCGGGACCAAAUCCUAA